AUAUUGGACAAUGGGCGCAAGCCUGAUCCAGCCAUGCCGCGUGAGUGAUGAAGGCCUUAGGGUUGUAAAGCUCUUUCACCGGUGAAGAUAAUGACGGUAACCGGAGAAGAAGCCCCGGCUAACUUCGUGCCAGCAGCCGCGGUAAUACGAAGGGGGCUAGCGUUGUUCGGAAUUACUGGGCGUAAAGCGCACGUAGGCUGAUAUUUAAGUCAGGGGUGAAAUCCCGGGGCUUAACCCCGGAACUGCCUUUGAUACUGGGUAUCUUGAGUAUGGAAGAGGUCAGUGGAAUUGCGAGUGUAGAGGUGAAAUUCGUAGAUAUUCGCAGGAACACCAGUGGCGAAGGCGGCUGACUGGUCCAUUACUGACGCUGAGGUGCGAAAGCGUGGGGAGCAAACAGG
rnacentral:rRNA from 1 species